rnacentral:lncRNA from 1 species
GUAGUAGACUGCAACGAAACAUAAGUGCUUAACACCGGUGGACUCCUCUGGCGUUGCGCCGGCGUACUCUUCGGCGACUGGAGGAAGCGCUCUGCCGUGGUUUCGGUGCUGCAGGAGGUGCCUGGCGGAGCUUCAAGAUCCAGUGUGGCGGAGAUUCGAGUUCCUGUGUAGCAGCCGAUGCGAGCGUGCGGGUGGUGGGUGAAGGUACGCCGCUGGAACGGAAGCACAGUACCUGCUCGACGAAUUGCGUCCAAGGGCUUGUCGAAACUCAGGUACGCUGCUUUGUCUCAAAGGCCUUCCUGGUGAAAAUACAGUGAUUUCAGAGUGGUUUCAGUGGUUUGUUUACUGGUGAACUUGUGAAACUGGUGUUUUUGUGAAGAAUUACGUGUAGAACUCUAGAGUAUUAGAAUCCUCCUGCCGCCUGCUUUCACACGGAUUAGGAGCUAAGUCUACUGUAUCCUGUAAAGCAAUGGUUGAGCAAGUAGAACCAAAGAGUGGAUCAAAUUUGUCAAGCUGUUUGCAAAGGCGUCAUUCAGGGCCUUUCCUUGCCACGGCCUCAGAGCUGCUAGGGGGCAAUGGAGAAUCGUGGAGGGGGUCGAGAUUUUGGGCACUGAAUGACGAUAGUGAUGAAGAGUGUGAUGUAAUUAGUUCAGCACAGAAGGGUGGGGAUACCAGGGAAGAAUCUUAUCAUUCUGAUCAAGAAUUCAUAAGAGAUGCAACCUGGACCGGAUUCUCGGUGGAUGAUGUGCUUAGAGCUGAGACUCUAUUAACAGAGAAUUUUUAUUCUCCAAAAUUUUCGUCUGUAGACAGGGGAGCUGGACAGGCUAGUCAUCCCCGUCCACUAGCGUCAAGAAUUACAGAGGCUGUGGCAGACUUGCGCAUACAGAGGAACAUGAAACCAUGGAGGGGGCCACGGCCUAAGCCACGGUACUCACCUAAUCGGCAGCUGGGGGAUCUUUUGGUCAAGGAUCUAAGAGUAGCCUACAUGCAUGAAACACCAAAAUCGUUGAGAGAUUUGUGCUCCGUAGGGAAUAGACAUACUAAUCGCGUUUCUCAGGAAGGGGAGAGCGAGGGGACAAGAUUGGUCUUUGUGCGAGGCUGGUCAUUGGGCCAUCCACGGGCACGCGGGCUGGGAGUUACUCUGCCCAACAAGUCUGUUAAAGUGGGCUCGCACCCAGAGUUUAGGCCAACGCAGGGUUUAAGUGCCCUGUUUAUGGCUGGGGGAGUGCCGAGGCGUCUGGCGGCGAGAAGAGAGGUUGUAAACGAUACAUCUCAGGGUCGGAGGAUUGAUCCGCCUUUCAUCCAAAAACUCUCUUUUGCGGAAGCACUAGUCUCAGGACCCAAGGGCGAAAGAAAGGCCGAGAUGAAGAAUAUGGCAGGCAACCAUGGUGGACGCGAUAGGGAGGGAAGAGGCGGCGCUGGCACCUACGGCCCUUAUCAUCGCGAUCGAGGAGGGGUUGGCGCGGGUCGAAGCUGGGGUGGAAGAGAGAGUUGGGCACGGAGAGGUGGUGUCUCUCGUGAUGCUUAUAGGGGAGCUCAGGUGGGUAGGUUUGGAAGCUUUGGUAGAGGUCGUGGGGGGCAAUUCCCCCCACCAGUUGGAGCUGGGAAGGGUGAAUGGGUGUGGAGAGAGGAUCGGCGACAUUCACAGGCGCAGGGCAUGGGCAAUGGUGGAGGUGAGUCCUCUGAAGCCGUUGACAUGGUAUUGGGGUCUGACAACGACCCUGAUAUGAUAGCUGAAGAUGGUGGAAGCAGGGAAGGAGGUGAGGUUGUCAAAACAGGAGGAAGAUGUUCUAAGUGUUCAAAGAGGGGGCACCUGGCCGUAGCAUGCACGUCGGAGGUGUAUUGUGUAAUAUGUGACUCUCAUGAUCACAUGAACCACAAGUGCCCUGUCCUAAAAGCACCGAGACCUGUGGCCCAUGCAGCGGGAUAUGCAGUAAUGGGGUUGGGAUUCUACCAUAUCCCUCACCCACCGCUGCCCAGGCUGAAAAAGGAGUCUAAGAUGGCUCAAGUUUCGGUGGUAGGUGGUUCUCUGUCUGAAGAACAACUGAUUCUGCAGCUCAAAAGGGUAGUGCCGGUUAAGUGGAGUUGGGAACUAAAGAAGCAGGGAGACGGAAAAUUUAUUACCCAAUUCCCUUCUAAGGCUGAGUUGCAGCGGUCAAUUGCAUAUGGUGGUGCGGAUGUUAAGGGAGAGGGGGUGCAUGAUGGCAUUAGACUACAAUUUGAAGAGUGGCACGAGAAGGAUGAAGGUUUCUUACUAUCAAAGGUUUGGGUGAGAGUGAGGUGCAUCAGAGAGCCACUCCGCGAGUUUCUCAUCUUGUGGGCUGUGGGGUCUCUGUUAGGCUCAACACAAACCGUUGACAUGGAGACUACCAGGAAGAACGAAUUUGGUCGUAUCUUGAUUGCUGUUCUUGAUCCCAAGCUUAUCCCAAGGAGGCUGGACGUAGUAAUCGGUGACCAUUACUUUGAUUUGGAGUUUGAAGUCGAGAAAAGAGGCUUUGAUGAGAAUGGAGAGGAGGUUGACGUUGACUGGGAUGGAGGAGAAGAUGAGGGGGAAGGCAAGGAAAUAGAUCCGAAUAGUGAGAGCGGAUUGGGUGCUGACCAAUCAAUUGUGAAGGAUAACAGGCAGUCCAAAAGGGAUGAUGGAGGUGCUGGCAGGAAAGAGGAAGGAAAUAAUUCUCAUUCUCAAAAUGGUGCUCCCACCAACAAUAGUCACGUUCUCAGUAAGGCAGAGUUCCAGGAUUUCCUUAAAUGGAAAGCAGACCAAGUGCUCGAUGUGGCUGUUGAUAAGGCUUUGGAUGACCUGGCAACAAAAGUGGCAAUGGAGACUGAGGAGCCCUUGGAGGGGGCCUCAAAAUCUCUUGCUUUGGACGCUGUUGUUUCUGCUGGGAAUGAAGUUGGGGUAGCUGAGAUGGAACUGGAGAAGAACAUAGAUGUCGUUCCAACGGAGGAUGUGGAAGAGGGUUCUAAAAAAAUUGCAGCGGUGGUGGAACCAGGGAGUAGCGUGAUGGGGGCUCCGAAUGGACCUGCUACUGCGGCAUUCAUGGAGGCGACGCUGAUUCCAGAAGCUGUGCACUCCCCUAUCAGGGCGAGUCCACGGCUUGCUGGGGUGACGGCUGAGCACACCCUAGUGCGGGCAGAACGGUUGGUGCAAUCCAAGAACCUGGAAUGCAGCCGAGGUAACAAUCAGAAUGACCACUCUUGUUUAUUACCCUUGUCAAAUGCUGUAGAUAACCUACAUGCUUUAGGCUUAGUGGUGGAUAUUAAUAACAAGGCUUCCUUUGAGAUGAAUGUUCAGGAUUUAGUAGAAGAUGUUUGUGUUAGUAAUAGUCCUCACUCUGUUUGGGGAACUGGGGAGAUAGAAUUUUCGGAUGGCGAGACAGUAGGUUCAGAGAAUUUUGAGAGGAAAGCGUUAGAGUCUCUAUGUGGGGAUCUUAUGGAAGAAAUUUUUGAUGACGACAGCUAUCACUUAAGUAGCGAUCUUAAAACGGUCCAAAGGAAGCCAGGCGCUAAGACGUCUAGGAAAAGGGCUUCGAGAAAGUUGAAGAUUAGGAUUAAUAAGAUUAGUGCGAAAUGAGGGGAAUUUUUUGGAAUAGCAGAGGUCUUCGUGACUUGGCUAAAACAAAAUUUUUGAGUAGUGUUUCAAGAGAGCAGGGACUAGAUUUCAUUGCGCUCUUAGAAAUUGGUAAAAGAGAUUUCACACAGGCAAAGCUCGAUAGAUAUAGCGGGGGAAAGAAUUUUGUUUGGCACUGGACUGAACCACAUGGAAGGUCAGGGGGUAUGUUGCUAGGAGUCAAUAUGGAUGUGUGUGAUGUUGGAAGUAUAGAGGAGGGAGAUUUCUUUAUCAAGUUCCAUCUCAGAAAUAGGGAUGAUGAUUUUCAUUGGUGUUUAGUGGCGGUCUAUGGAGCUGCACAGCCAGAGUUUAAGGAAAAAUUCCUAACUGAGCUGGUACAGGCCUGCAGGAAAGUAUCUCUCCCCCUUCUGGUCGGUGGAGACUUUAAUAUAAUUAGGAAUCCAAGCGAGAAAAACAAUGAUAACUUUGAUGACCGAUGGCCCUUCUUAUUUAAUGCCAUUAUAGAUGGCUUAAAUUUAAGAGAAAUCGAGAUGUCAGGAAGAAAAUUCACUUGGGCCAACAACAGACAGGUACCAACUUAUGAAAAGUUAGAUAGGGUGCUGGCCAGUACGGAAUGGGAGCAGAAGUUCCCCCUUGUCACUGUUAACGCUCUGAAUAGGGAGAUCUCAGAUCAUACCCCCCUGAUCCUUAAUACCGGUGAUAGGGUGCAUAGGGACAGGCAACCUGAGUUCAAUUUUGAACUGAGUUGGUUCUUACAGAAGGACUUCUUCAGAACAGUACAAAGAAUAUGGAAAAGUGUAGAGUAUGGAUCUACCCCAAUGAAGAAAUGGCAGAAUAAGAUUAGAAGAUUAAGGCAAUUUUUGAGAGGGUGGGCAAAGAACGUUAAUGGAAGCUUCAAAAGAGAAAAGGAGGAAUUGUUUCGGCUUGCCGAAGAGUUAGAUAAGAAGGCAGAAACCCAGAUUUUGAGUCAACACGAGCUUGAUAUGAAGCAAAGUGUUAAAGUAAGGAUCACGCAAUUGCUAAGAGAAGAGGAAAUCAAAUGGUUCCAGAGGGCAAAGUCCAAGGAUCUACUAAAGGGAGAUAAUAAUACUAAGUAUUUUCACAUGGUGGCCAAUGGAAAGAGAAGGAAAACAAGAAUUUUUCAGUUAGAACAAGAAGGAGGAGUGGUCGAAGGACAGGAAAACUUAAAGGUUUUCAUAACAAAUUAUUAUAAAGAUUUGUUUGGGUCAUCACAGAGAAGUACCUUCUCUCUUGAUGAAUCACAAACAAGUGAUAUUCCGCAGGUUAAUGAAGAGGAGAAUAAGAUACUAACUGAAGCUUUUACAGAAAAAGAGGUUAGAGAUGCUAUUUUCCAAAUGAAACACAAUAAGGCACCAGGCCCUGAUGGCUUUCCGGCAGAGUUUUAUCAAGUGUUUUGGGCUCUAAUUAAAGAUGACCUAAUGGCCAUGUUUCAAGAGUUCCAUGCUGGUAACUUGCCUCUCUUCAACCUUAACUUUGGAACAAUUACCCUGAUUCCAAAACAAAAGGAAGUAAAAAAGAUACAGCAGUAUAGGCCGAUAUGCAUGCUGAAUGUAAGCUUUAAGAUCUUUACUAAGGUCUUGGCUAACAGGCUUACUGUGUUGGCCGACAAAGUAGUGAGAAAGUCGCAAACCGCAUUUAUGCCAGGAAGAAACAUUUUGGAAGGGGUGGUGAUUCUGCAUGAAACAAUACAUGAACUGCACAAAAAAAAGAAGAAUGGAGUGAUAUUGAAAUUGGAUUUCGAAAAAGCCUAUGAUAAAGUAAAUUGGCCUUUUGUGCAGCAAACGCUUAGGAUGAAAGGCUUCUCGCCUGUUUGGUGUAAGUGGAUUGAAAAGGCUGUAAGUCAAGGGAAUGUGGGGAUCAAAGUGAAUGAUGAGAUUGGUCAGAACUUCCAAACCAGAAAAGGACUGAGGCAAGGGGAUCCACUCUCACCUAUCCUUUUUAAUUUGGUGGCGGACAUGCUGGCCAUUCUUGUUUCGAGAGCAAAGAACGACAGGCAGUUUGGAGGCCUAGUACCUAACCUCAUUGAUGAUGGGUUGUCUAUUCUGCAAUAUGCAGAUGAUACUAUUUUGUUCAUGGACGAUGAUUUAGUGGGGGCUAGAAAUCUAAAGUUAGUGCUAGUAGCUUUUGAGAAGUUGUCGGGCUUGAAAAUCAAUUUUCAUAAGAGCGAGUUGUUUUGUUUCGGAGGAGCUAAGGACAGAAGCAUGGAAUAUGUGGAGCUGUUCGGCUGCGUAGAGGGGAGCUUCCCCUUCAGAUACUUAGGAAUCCCAAUGCACUUCCGGAAGCUUUCGAACAAGCACUGGAGUUCAAUCGAAGAGCGAUUCCAGAAAAAACUUAGUAGCUGGAAAGGGAAGCUGCUAUCUUCUGGGGGCAGAUUAGUGCUAAUAAAUUCAGUCCUGUCUAGUCUACCUAUGUUCAUGAUGUCCUUUUUUGCAAUUCCUAAAGGGGUGCAAAAAAGACUGGAUUAUUAUCGAUCCAGAUUUUUCUGGCAGUGUGACGAACAUAAGAAGAAGUAUAGGUUAGCAAAGUGGAAUAUACUUUGUAAACCAAGGUGCAUGGGGGGAUUGGGGAUCUUAGACUUAGAAACCCAGAACAAAUGCUUACUUAGUAAGUGGUUGUUCAAGCUCUUCAAUGAGGAUGGUCUUUGGCAAGAUGUGCUGAAAAGGAAGUAUGUCAAAGACAAAUGCUUAUCUCAAAUCAAAAAGCGUCCAGGAGAUUCCCAUUUCUGGUCUGGACUGAUGGAGGUGAAAGAAUUGUUACUUCAGCAUGGUCGAUUCAUAGUAAAUAAUGGUUGUCAGACUAGGUUCUGGGAGGAUGUGUGGACUGAACAACAACCGUUAAUGCAGAAAUUUCCAGACCUGUAUAGAAUCGUGAGGAAGAAAGGGGUUUCAGUUGCUAGUGUACUUAGUUCUACCCCGCUGAAUGUUUCCUUCAGACGGGGUUUAGUGGGGGAAAGACUGAAGGAUUGGCUCAAUUUAGUGGCUCUAGUGCUACAGGUAUGCCUGAACAAUGACAAAGACAAAUUCAUUUGGCAAAAUAAAAAGAAUGGAGUUUUCUCAACGCAGUCAAUGUAUAGAGAAAUAAUGAAAAGAGAGAAGAUAUCUGGGAACGAAGUAUUCUGGAAAGCGAAGUUGCCUUUGAAAAUUAAAAUUUUUCUUUGGUACUUGAAAAGAGGGGUAAUUUUAACAAAAGACAACUUAUUAAAAAGAAGAUGGAAGGGUGAUUCUAAGUGUAAUCUGUGUGGUCUGGAUGAAAGUAUCCAACACCUCUUCUUUGAAUGCCGGGUGGCUAGAUUUGUUUGGAACGCAUUAUUUAUAACUUUUAGUAUUAAACCACCAAAGUGUACAUCCCACAUGUUUGGAUCUUGGAUAAGGGGUUUUGCACCAAGGCUAAGAAAUCAAAUGCUAGUGGGGAUAGCAGCUUUUUGUUGGGUUUUAUGGCUAAAUAGAAAUGAUGCGGUUUUCCAAAAUUUGGUUGCUAAUUCUUAUUUGCAGGUGAUUUUCAGGGGGAGUUUCUGGAUCAGGCAUUGGUCUCUGCUGUCUAAAGAGGAAGAGAGAAGAAAUUUGAAUUAUGGCUGCAGAUAUCUGGAAGGAGCAGCACUACAACUCUUUAGUUCCUGGAAACAUUAUAAGAGAAUAGGAGUGUAGAAUCCUUCUUUUGUUGUGGUCUGUGCCUCGGGCAGUACCUGUUUGAUUUUCUUCCUGUGUAAGGCAACAGAUAUCUGUUGUGUUUGCCCGGUUCGAGUGUCUUCAUGUGUAAGGUUUAGAUUUGUGGUCAGUUUGCUCGCUUUAGCUGAGCUCUGGACUUUGUCAUGGCUAGGUUGCCCUCAUGUGUUAGGGCCCAAGUUUUUAUCUAGUUUGCCGCUUAGCGGAUUCUGGGUUAUGUCCCAACUUUUGUAAUGUUUAAGCUGUAAGCAUUCACUCGUGAAUGUGCAGGCUGGAAUAGAUAUUCCUUUAUCUAAAAAAAACAAAUAUCUUGC